UACGUAGGGUGCGAGCGUUAAUCGGAAUUACUGGGCGUAAAGCGUGCGCAGGCGGUUCGUUAAGUCAGCUGUGAAAGCCCCGGGCUCAACCUGGGAAUGGCGGUUGAAACUGGCGAACUAGAAUCUGGCAGAGGGGGGUGGAAUUCCACGUGUAGCAGUGAAAUGCGUAGAGAUGUGGAGGAACACCGAUGGCGAAGGCAGGUCUCUGGGCUGACACUGACGCUCAUGCACGAAAGCGUGGGGAGCAAACAGG
rnacentral:rRNA from 1 species